rnacentral:rRNA from 1 species
CCUACGGGUGGCAGCAGUAGGGAAUAUUGCUCAAUGGGGGAAACCCUGAAGCAGCAACGCCGCGUGGAGGAUGAAGGUUUUCGGAUUGUAAACUCCUUUUGUUAGAGAAGAUAAUGACGGUAUCUAACGAAUAAGCACCGGCUAACUCCGUGCCAGCAGCCGCGGGAAUACGGAGGGUGCAAGCGUUACUCGGAAUCACUGGGCGUAAAGAGCGCGUAGGCGGGAUAGCAAGUCAGAUGUGAAAUCCUAUGGCUUAACCAUAGAACUGCAUUUGAAACUGUUAUUCUAGAGUAUGGGAGAGGUAGGUGGAAUUCUUGGUGUAGGGGUAAAAUCCGUAGAGAUCGAGAGGAAUACUCAUUGCGAAGGCGACCUGCUAGCACAUAUCUGACGCUGAUGCACGAAAGCGUGGGGAGCGAACAGGAUUAGAUACCCGAGUAGUC